UCAGUGAGUUCCCAGGGGGGAUCUUGGAGGUGUAAAGGAGGUCUGAGGGAGGAAAUAGGAGGAUUCCGGGGAAGCCCAGUGGGGCACAUGGGGUGCUGCUGGGGACUGUGGGGCUCCAUGUGGGUAUGGGCCAGCUACGGGGGAGGUGUACUGGGUCUGAGGGGGCCCUCGAGGGGCUCCAGGGCUCUGUGGGGGGCUAUAGGGUGUCUCUAGGGGUCUUGCUGGGAAACACUUGGAGGGACAUUGGGGCUCUGAGGGAAUGAUGGGUGGGCUGUCAUGAGAAAGGAAAGGGCAGCCUUGGGGAAAGCAAGGGGCAGCCAGGGGGAUGGAAGGGAAUCCUACAGGAACGCAAGGGGAAUCCAGGCUGAGGCAAGGGGACAGCUGGGGGAAGAACAGGGGAACGUCCCAGCAACGGACUUCUUCUUUCACAUCCACAUCUUCUGCUUCCCAACUGAGCUGCAAAGCUGCUAGAGGAGCUGCAGUACCGCUGCCCGAAUACUGCCUGUGUCAGAAAGAGCUGCACGUGAGCAGAGUGCAAUUGCCAUUCUAAAGCCAACUCCAUCACUGCAGUCACAAAACCACAACCUUCAGUAUCUGCUACAGGCAG
ensembl:lncRNA